CCAAAAACGCCAGAACCGCUAUCUAUCCAACUUCACUGCAACCUCGGAUUUAUCAGUUUCAUCAGGGGGUGGCGCUUUUCUCGGACAGCUGUUGUCACGGCCACACUCUGGCAGCGGCGGCUAAGCACAUCUUCGAAUCAAGCGUAUGUGGAAUCUUUGCAGGUCUGACCGCCGCCUUGGUCAGGUGCUCCGCAGCCGCUGGGGACUGAGGGCCAUGGGUAAAUUGUAGGAGUCAUUAGGGAGGUAGCGGCCGAAUAUUGCACCAGGGAGGCCAAUUCCUGUUCUGGUGAGCUUUAUCCUAUACCCUCCCACAUUUAUUAAAUAAGAUGCAUCAAGAAUCAUUUGACCCGUUCUGUUACUUAAACAAUGAGAUCAGACUUUUCUUAUCGAAAAUGUCUAAAUGAUAAGUAUCAGGCAUAACAUCUAUUAUUACUCCAGUUGUGUUAGGGAAGUAAAUUUUUUUUCCCUAUUCUGGCAUGUAUUCAUGCUUGUACUUUAUCAUAUUUAUUCCACAAAUAUAUGUUCUACGCUAUGUGCAAUGUAAUCAGUUGUAUAUCUUCUAUGUACGCUGUCAUGCCAAAAAAAAUAAGGGAGCAGGGACCUCUAUCAAGCUGUACUCACGGCUUUUAGUCCCACCUCCUCCUCUCUCAAAAGGAAAUAACGCUUGAUUUGAUUUUAUUUGAUCCCGACUUGUGUCAAUGUGUUCGCUUUUUGGGCAAAACUGCGACUUUUUUUGAGAUGGCCGUGGAAAAAAAAACUCAAAAUUUUACC